rnacentral:rRNA from 1 species
GACGAACGCUGGCGGCGUGCUUAACACAUGCAAGUCGAACGGAAAGGCCCUGCUUUUGUGGGGUGCUCGAGUGGCGAACGGGUGAGUAACACGUGAGUAACCUGCCCUUGACUUUGGGAUAACUUCAGGAAACUGGGGCUAAUACCGGAUAGGAGCUCCUGCUGCAUGGUGGGGGUUGGAAAGUUUCGGCGGUUGGGGAUGGACUCGCGGCUUAUCAGCUUGUUGGUGGGGUAGUGGCUUACCAAGGCUUUGACGGGUAGCCGGCCUGAGAGGGUGACCGGCCACAUUGUGACUGAGAUACGGCCCAGACUCCUACGGGAGGCAGCAGUGGGGGAUAUUGCACGAUGGGCGGAAGCCUGAUGCAGCAAAGCCGCGUGCGGGAUGACGGCCUUCGGGUUGUAAACCGCUUUCGCCUGUGACGAAGCGUGAGUGACGGUAAUGGGUAAAGAAGCACCGGCUAACUACGUG